CCUACGGGAGGCAGCAGUGAGGAAUAUUGGUCAAUGGACGAGAGUCUGAACCAGCCAAGUAGCGUGAAGGAUGACUGCCCUAUGGGUUGUAAACUUCUUUUAUAUGGGAAUAAAAUGUUCCACGUGUGGGAUUUUGUAUGUACCAUAUGAAUAAGGAUCGGCUAACUCCGUGCCAGCAGCCGCGGUAAUACGGAGGAUCCGAGCGUUAUCCGGAUUUAUUGGGUUUAAAGGGAGCGUAGGUGGAUUGUUAAGUCAGUUGUGAAAGUUUGCGGCUCAACCGUAAAAUUGCAGUUGAAACUGGCAGUCGUGAGUACAGUAGAGGUGUGCGGAAUUCGUGGUGUAGCGGUGAAAUGCUUAGAUAUCACGAAGAACUCCGAUUGCGAAGGCAGCUCACUGGACUGCAACUGACACUGAGGCUCGAAAGUGUGGGUAUCAAACAGGAUUAGAUACCCCUGUAGUC
rnacentral:rRNA from 1 species